AGCAGCCGCGGUAAUUCCAGCUCCAAUAGUGUAUAUUAAAGUUGUUGCAGUUAAAAAGCUCGUAGUUGAAUUUCGGGAUCGAUAUAUCGGCCGUGCCUCGGUACGUACUGGUAUUUUCGGUUUCUACCUUCUGACGAACCUUGAUGUCAUUAAUUUGGUGUCUUGGGGAAUCAGGACUGUUACUUUGAAAAAAUUAGAGUGUUUAAAGCAGGCUCACGCUUGAAUACAUUAGCAUGGAAUAAUGAAAUAGGACGUUUGAUUCUAUUUUGUUGGUUUCUAGGAUCGACGUAAUGAUUAAUAGGGAUAGUUGGGGACAUUAGUAUUCAAUUGUCAGAGGUGAAAUUCUUGGAUUUAUGAAGACUAACUACUGCGAAAGCA
rnacentral:rRNA from 1 species